rnacentral:rRNA from 1 species
GACGAACGCUGGCGGCGUGCUUAACACAUGCAAGUCGAGCGGUAAGGCCCUUUCGGGGGGUACACGAGCGGCGAACGGGUGAGUAACACGUGGGUGACCUGCCCUCAGCUCUGGGGAUAAGCCUGGGAAACUGGGGUCUAAUACCGGAUAUGACUCCAUGACGCAUGUUGUGGGGUGGAAAGCCUUGUGCGGCUGAGGAUGGGCCCGCGGCCUAUCAGCUUGUUGGUGGGGUGAUGGCCUACCAAGGCGACGACGGGUAGCCGGCCUGAGAGGGCGACCGGCCACACUGGGACUGAGACACGGCCCAGACUCCUACGGGAGGCAGCAGUGGGGAAUCUUGCGCAAUGGGCGAAAGCCUGACGCAGCGACGCCGCGUGAGGGAUGACGGCCUGGUGUAAC